AUGUCGGAGAAGCCAUCUGAUGAGACGACCGGUCAGGUGAGGCCUGAAGGAGAUGUUUCUGAUGUGAAAGUGGAAACUGCCGACCAGAAUAAAGGAAAUGAGAUGCCAUCAGCACAGCAGGAGGAAGCAGUAAUCAAGAAAAAGUAUGGAGGGGUACUGCCCAAAAAGUCACCACUCAUAUCCAAGGACCAUGAGCGAGCUUACUUUGAUUCUGCUGAUUGGGCUCUGGGAAAGGAGGACAUCCUCAAAAGCCUAAAGGCCCGCUUGAAGCACUUCGACCGAAAUUACAGCCUACCCAGCAGCAAGCCCGUUCACGACGAUUCCUUCAUGCAUCUACUGACAGCGACGAGGGUGCCAACUCGCCUACGGAGGCUACGACCCCGAACCAGGAGUUCACCGAGGAGGCCAAGGCAGCCGAGAACAAGGAAUCCACCGAGUAGCUCCCAUGUCCUUUUUUGA
rnacentral:rRNA from 1 species